UGGGGAAUAUUGCACAAUGGGGGAAACCCUGAUGCAGCGACGCCGCGUGAGCGAAGAAGGUUUUCGAAUCGUAAAGCUCUGUCCUAUGGGAAGAUAAUUACGGUACCAUAGGAGGAAGCCCCGGCUAACUACGUGCCAGCAGCCGCGGUAAUACGUAGGGGGCAAGCGUUGUCCGGAAUCACUGGGCGUAAAGGGUUCGCAGGCGGAAAUGCAAGUCAGUUGUGAAAGGCAGAGGCUCAACCUCUGUAAGCAAUUGAAACUGUAUUUCUUGAGAUGUUGACAGGCAAGUGGAAUUCCUAGUGUAGCGGUUGAAAGCGUAGAUAUCAGGAGGAAUACCGGUGGCGAAAGCGACUUACUGGACUUAAACUGACGAUCAGGCACGAAAGCGUGGGGAGCAAACAGG
rnacentral:rRNA from 1 species